AUGAUGCAAUCCUGCCUUCGUCUUUUCUCUGUGGGCUUGUGAUUUGCAUUUCCCUGCCGGUGCAUGGAGGGAAGGGUUGUUUUUUUUUUGUUUUGCUUUGUUUUUCCAAAGGGAGGAAGGUUACUGAGAGGGGAAGAUGAAUUGUGAGAUCACUUUUGAGUGUGCUGUAUUCGUUCCCCCUACCCAAACCCCCCCCCCCCGGGGGGGGGGACAUGUGAGCAAGGAGAGAGGGUGCCGCUAACCCAGGGACGGCCCGAAGCACUGCAGAUCGGUGCUGGGUUGUUUUGGGGAAGACGGUGGGGUUCUUUUUAGAGAGGUCUGGGAGACCGGUCUCCACUCCAAGAUUUGGGGGCUGUUUUUCUUAGUUGAUUUUUGAAGCUCGGGUGUGCUGUACGGGCCCCAGGUGAAAAUGAUCGCUCGCUAAGGAUUCCUCGUAGAGGGGCCCCCCUGCAACGCACAGCUCUAAACGUCGCCUGCCUUUUCCGUAUUGCUAUAUUUAAAAAAAAUCCUGCACGCCCAUCCCGCAAAGUAAUCCUUCCUUCAUCCCGCUCUCCUCUCCUUGCUCGGAACCGGACAAUUACUCCACUGGGUCGGUGUAUCCGGGGCUACGGAUCCUGCCCUAUUUACCCCCAAACGGAUCCCCACGUGAGCCUCACCCACCUCUGCUUCCCUCCCUUCCCACUCGUUUUAAGCUCUUUUUAGGCGGGCCGAGGUUGUCCCUUGGGUCAGGCUGAGGCAGGGAGGAGCCGCUGCCUGUUUAUUUCCCAUCCAUGGCCACUUUUGUUCAUGGCAAACUCCCUCUUGGUGCGCUUCACCUUAGGGCUUUUCUUAUCAACUCCGCGUGCAGAGACCUUUUGAAACCCUAAGCUUUUGGAGGCGAGAGCAGGUUAGGCCAUCCAGGCGGCUGGAUGCCAUCCACAGGCUUGCGGGGAGGGGGGAUUUGAAACCGAUCCCUAGCCGUCAGACGAGGAAAAGCACGGUAGAAACAAACACGGGCCACUCCCUUUCCCCAGCCCUGGGACAGUCGCAGUCCUCGGGUGGCAUCUGCCUUGCAUCAAGCACAUACAUAGCCGGGGAGUGCGUGCCUCGGUGAUUCAGAAGUCGGGGUUUCGUUCAGGCUGGUCGUUCGGCGCUCCGAGCUGCUGUGCUUGGGGAGAAACGGUUGGGUUUUCCUCUCCUGCCUUUAAUUACAGGGAUAGUGCACACCCUGUGCUCCCAGAGUGUAUUUUAAGCGAAGCUAAGGCAGCAAGAGAGGGAAAACCCAGGCAUGGUGGAAAUAAAUAACAGGACCUUGCUUAAUAGGGGAUUUCAGCAAGUGAAUUAGACUCUUUAAGUAGGUGCUUCUGCCCGCCUAGAAGUUUCACUCGCUGAGAUUUAGGGCUUUUUUGUUGCCCGUAUUUUCAGGGGGCAUGGAUGUAUGGUCAGCUAUGUUCGAAAAAAAGAGGUUGUGCUAACACUGUCAAUAGCUGAUCAACUUGAACAGGCCCAGGGAUGCAGCUGUGGCAAAUAUAGUGUGAACAAUAAAACUUUACAGUGCUAUAGGGCUUUCCCUGUAAGGAGCUGGCAAUGCUUACAUCGUGCAUCCUCCCCCCUCCCCCCCCCCCCCCCAGCGCUGAGAGGAAAGUAAGGAGGAACUGAGGCACAGACUUGCUCAAGGUAUCUAGGAAAACCCUGAUAAAACAACCCCCUGAAGAGAUGGGAUGUUUUUGCUAACCAGUGCUGAUUCCAUCCCUGGCAAUGCAAAGUUUGAAAGAGCAAUUGUGAAAGAACAACUAAUAAAAUAUUUCUAAUUACCUUUAGUUUUAAAUGGUCUUAGAUCUACUCAUAAAAAUCUCAGUUUACCUUCCUUUUUACAGUAGAUGAUUUGCAUGCAAGUUGUUUUGUGUUUAAUGCUCUUUUUCUGUGGCAAUGCAACCCCUUUGGUUUUGUGUCAAAAAGAUUAAUAGGAGAUAGCAGCCUUACCUGUUGGCAUAGGUUCCUUUCCACAGGAAACUGGCUCUCCAUAGGAGUUUGUAAUGAAGCAGCUUAAAAUCAGAUGAAAAACAUUAUCCCUAUCUGAAACCACUUCAGUUGCAUCUGAUGAAGGGAGCUGUAGCUCACAAAAGCUUAUGCUCAAAUAAAUGUGUUAGUCUCUAAGGUGCCACAAGUACUCCUUUUCACUUCGGUUUAGGUCCUAAUUCACCCUAUACUGCGCAUCAUUCUAUGUUAGAACAGAGAUAAUAGCCUUACUAGUGUGACAUAGUGAGGGUGCUCUGGACAGGUGGCAUUACUACUUGAGACCCUGAUGCCGCAAACAACCCCUGCCAUUAUGCACAUGCUCAACUUUAAGCAGGAAAGUAGGCCCAAUGGUUUCAGUGGGACUACUCAGACACACAGAGGGAAACCUGCUGUACUACUUGAAGUAAUCUACUUCCUCUUGGGCCAGGUAAAGAAUGAAACUGAAACACACAGCAGAGAACUCAUUUCAUAUAUAUGGCAGUUUUCUUUAUUGAUUGCUUGAUGUGAAACAAUUGGCAAUUUUUUCUCACGCAUUACAAAAAAAUAUUAAACUUGGCUCAGUCUGCAAUCCUUUCAGCACAGCCAUAUUAAUUAACAGAAAAAGAAAAAAAAACAGAAACAAACAAAAAAAAACCCCUACAAGUCUACCAAAUAGAGCAUUUACAAAUGCACAAAACAUGCCACUUUGGCUUUAUGGGGAAAAAAUAUCUUCUUCUAGAUUAAAAAAAUCUUUUAACAUAAAUAAGUUAGUAUAAUUUCUCAGUGUCUUUACAGAGUUAUGUACACAGGUACACUUCAAACUUUUAUGUUUUUAUUUUUACAUACAGAUACACAGGCAGUGUAGAAAUACUGUUUAAAGAUGUAAUGUCCCUUUUCAUUCACUCAUGAACAUCAGGGAAAAGAAAUCAGUAAUCAACAAUAUUCUGUUUUGGAAUAUGAACUCUCCAGAUUCAUUUGAAAAUAUCCAGCCAAUGUUAUGGGUAAUAGUUAGAGUCAAUGGAAUUACUCUAAAAUUCUUUAGGUUUAUCCUAAGAGAUUUAAGAAGUUGCAGGACAUAAAAAUCCUUUUGCAGCUACAUAACGGAAACAGAGCUCCCACCUCUUAAGCUUAAUGUAAUAAGUAGAAAUUCACACGCAGCCUGUAACAGUCUGCUGUAGCCAGUGUUAGCAUUAUGGUGUAUUUAAAAAAAAAAAAAAAAAAAAAAAAAAAAAAAAAAGACAUUGUAGACCCCACUUAAAGAGACAAUACAUCUUUAAUUUUUUUUUUUAAGAAAACCUCUACACUGCCUCUCUUCAUAAAUUUCCCUGCUUGCUAGAUUGUGAAAGCAAGUUUCAAUUGGUCACCCUUUUCCAUCCCCUCCCUCUCCCCCCCAAAAAAGGUUUAUGUGCUACAUAAGGUAAAAACUAUAUACACAGGUAGUACAAUGAAGCAAAUAAGGAAAAACCUAAUUGCACAAUGCUACAUCCAAUGCUUUUAGAGGCAGGUUUUUUAAGAGUGCCUAAAAUUUUAGUGUUAUUGUUUAUUUUUUUGUUUUUUUUUUUCAGUGCUUGUACAGGAUCUCCAUCCCAUGGAGAAUCAACGAUAUGUAUUUUAAUUUUUAUAUAUAUAUAUAUAUAUAUAUAACUUUACAUCUUCCUCCCUUCAUCAACCACCAAGGCAUCCGAUGAACAAGGAAAUGCAUAUUCUUAAAUCUGUAAUGAAAAUAAAAAGGGAAGGCAUUAGAAGUGCCAAAAGAAAUGUGAUUGCUUUGCUCUAGGAGAGAUCAUGACACACAAGGCACUAUUUAAAAACUAAAUCAGUCACUGGCAAUCUUUGCCCUAAUUGUUGGGGAUGGAGUGAUUUAAAAUUGGGUGUGGUGCCAACAAAACUUUUGACCAGUAAUCAGUAGUAUAUGAGCAGAAGAGGGCCAUAGUCCUUUAAAAACAAGGGAAAUUCACCCCCACCCCACCCUUAUGGAGGGCUACUGAUCCACACAUAGCUUUUUUAAAUCCAGCAGGCCUACACAGAGUUGAGACCAAGUGAACAUGUUUCCAGAGCGCCCCAUAUUUCACUUUUUAAAAGUAGUAUAAAUGCUGCGUUAUUAAGCAGUUUUGCAACAAAUCUGAUGGCUGACCCAGAGUCACAUAUUUAAGAUUAAUGCAAUAUUCGUUUGCAACUGAUCUUCUAUCUUUCUAAACUCAAACGUAUUUUGGGUUGCAAUAAUAAAAAUAAACAGCCCAGGGAACCCUCCUCUACUCCACUCCUUUUCUUUUUUGUCUGCCGACACCAUUAGUUUCCCCUUCAAACACCCAAAUAAACAGACAGUAGUAGUACAAUUUGCAUACACAUGCAUGCUGACGUGUUCAUGGAUUGUUUACCGCAGCAGAGGUAAUUUGUUUUAAUUUCUGCUUUACAGCUUAAUCUGUUCUGCACAAUCGCAAAUCAUGUUUGGAAGCCCUUUCCUUUAACCCCUACAACUUUGAAACCAUCGGUAAAUGUACGACCCCCAAGCCCUUACAUUUAAAAAAAAACCCUCUCCUUAACGCAGUGUGCUGACUGUAAAUCCCGAUGUGUGUGAUCGUAGAAAAAUGAAUAAAUAUAACAAAAAAGAACAGUUCUGAUACAAAGAAAAUGCUCAGCUUCUUGAUUUAUAGUCCUUAUUUACUUAUAUGUCUCACGAUUAAAGUUUGCUAGUAUGUGCAAAGACAAUAGGAAAAGCCAUUAAUACUCAUCUGAAAGUUCAAUACAGUUUAGAAAGAACGUAUUUGAAACUCAUUCGUUCUACCAGCAUGGGACCGAAUCAAUUGGUAAGAGGAUCCUCCUUACUUAAGUGACCCAAAUCUUAAACCAGAGCGACGGUAUUGUUUAUUAAUGGCACAUAAUAAAAACUCGCUCAUUUAUACUCCCUCUCCCCUACCCCCCAAGUUUAGCAUAGUCCUCCUAAAGCAUAUUAACAAGAUGUAUUUAAUGUAUAGACUUCUAUUUUAAAGCCCUUUUGAAAUUCUGUUUUUCAGGCGUAUUAAAAAAAAAGGCCAAAUCUACAAAGUUUUCAGAGAAACUAAUGUCAUAGAUACUGGAAUGACCUCAGAGUGGACCUUCAAUGCUUUACUCAGUUACACUGAUUUAAAAAAAAACAACAACACCCCACCGUUGUAAUGGGAACCCACCUAAACAGUUUACGUUUGACGUCUUCUUGGGCUGGAUUUCUUGGGUGUUUGCUCCACUGAACUGGCACUGGGGGACUCUUCUGAAACCUCUUCUUCUGUUGUGUUGGCUCUUUUAGGUUGAGGAAAAGAAUCUAGGAGGGGGACAUUGAAAGAAACAAAAAGAAAAGUGAAAACUUGAUAUUAAAUACAUUUGCUGCCAGAUGUUUGCUCUGCAUGAGGGAAUGGGGGACCGGAGGACCCUAAAUAUUUACGACCCUCAGGGUCAACUAUCGAUUGCAUGAAAGAGAUGGGGAGAAGAGUUGUUGCUUUGCUUAAAUGAAGACACAAGUGCCUUGUUUUGUCCAAAAUAUCCUUCUACAUUUGGCUUCACGUGUGUUAUGAAACUUGUACCUAUUUAAUCAAGUGAAAAGGAUGCAGAAGUCACAUAGCGAUUACUACAGUCGGGGGGAGAGGAAGGAGGUGUUAGUUUAAGGGCAUUUGACUGCAAAUGAUCCAUGGGCUCCAGAACCAAUUUAAGUUAAGAUUCCCGAGAGUACAGACCGUCCUGGGUUUUUAAGCUAAGAGGGGGGUAAAUCUCGAAACGCUGUCUGCCAGUAAACCAGUAGAACAGUUUACUGUAUGCCAGACGUGAGCGUGAUGUAUAUGCGACGGAGGUAAACUAACACUGACAAGGAUACAGUACAGAAGGUAAAAAGCUUUUGUUUUCUAAGAGUACGUUACCAUCCGUGGCUGGUCGUUUUCUUUGCCCAGUGCACUGGUCUGCUAAGUCCGUGUGAUUUUCAGAUACAUCAGUUUUUUGAUCUACAAAGUGAGUGUCCUCUGAGAUUCCCUGAGAACCGACUACAAUCACCGUCGUGGGGCAGUUUCCAUUUACAUCCAAACUCUCACGGGUGCCAACGACUUUGGGGGGCCUCGGAGGUCUGAAGUAGAAGUCGGGCGAGCUCCCUUUCUCCACCGCUUGCCACUCGAACCUGCCAGCCAGGGGCUUGUGAUUCUCGAAAUCAAAAUUCCACUUCCUUUGACAUGCCUCUUCCAUGUCCUUGCGGUGCUUCUUUAAGUCCCUGUUUAACUCUUCGUGAUUCACGGGCCCAAAGAGGUUCCUGCAAGCGGAAGGCUUGGGAUACUCCGACUGCCGGGCUUCCAUCCGCUCCAGGGUCGGGCUCCCAUUCGAAAUGCGCACGUUUGACAUUUCCCCCCACCCUCUUUCUUCUGGCGGCGCUGGUUGUUUUCCUCCUCCGCUGCGUGAAACUAUGUCCUCCCUCGUCUCUUCUUCUUUUUUGUAAACUCGAUCUCGGCUCCACGAGAAGAGACAACAACAAACACUUGCAUAAGACACGGGCCGGGGGGAGAGAACCCCUGAUGUGCACCAGAAAGCCUGGGGCAGAUCCAGUGGACGCCGGGGAGAGCGGAGGAUGGGGGGGGGGGGGGAAGCCAAGCCCCCUUUUGCGAGCCCACUUCCAGGCUGAUGCGAAGCCUGCGGCUCCCCCGAUCCAAACUGCGCUCGCAAACCUUGCCGAGGUCCAAGCUGCCGUGGAGU